GAUGAAGAACGUAGCGAAAUGCGAUAACUAAUGUGAAUUGCAGAAUUCAGUGAAUCAUCGAGUCUUUGAACGCACAUUGCGCCCCCUGGUAUUCCGGGGGGCAUGCCUGUCCGAGCGUCAUUGCUGCCCUCAAGCACGGCUUGUGUGUUGGGCUCCGUCCCCCCGGGGACGGGCCCGAAAGGCAGCGGCGGCACCGAGUCCGGUCCUCGAGCGUAUGGGGCUUUGUCACCCGCUCUGUAGGCCCGGCCGGCGCCAGCCGACAACCCAUCAUCCUUUUCAGGUUGACCUCGAAUCAGGUAGGGAUACCCGCUGAACUUAAGCAUAUCAAUAAGCGGAGGA
rnacentral:misc_RNA from 1 species